rnacentral:rRNA from 1 species
AUACGUAGGGGGCGAGCGUUGUCCGGAAUGAUAGGGCGUAAAGGGCGCGUAGGCGGCCCGGUAAGUCUGGAGUGAAAGUCCUGUUUUUAAGAUGGGAAUUGCUUUGGAUACUGUCGGGCUUGAGUGCAGGCGAGGUAAGUGGAAUUCCCAGUGUAGCGGUGAAAUGCGUAGAGAUUGGGAGGAACACCAGUGGCGAAGGCGACUUACUGGACUGUAACUGACGCUGAGGCGCGAAAGUGUGGGGAGCAAACAGGAUUAGAUACCCUGGUAGUCCACACUGUAAACGAUGAAUGCUAGGUGUAGGGGGUAUCGACCCCUUCUGUGCCGCAGUCAACACAAUAAGCAUUCCGCCUGGGGAGUACGGCCGCAAGGUUGAAACUCAAAUGAAUUGGCGGGG